rnacentral:rRNA from 1 species
CCUACGGGAGGCAGCAGUAGGGAAUUUUCGUCAAUGGGCGCAAGCCUGAACGAGCAAUGCCGCGUGAACGAGGAAGGUCUUCGGAUCGUAAAGUUCUGUUGAAGGGGAAAAAGAGCGGAGAGCGGAAAUGCUUUCUGAUUGAUAUUACCCUUCGAGGAAGUCACGGCUAACUACGUGCCAGCAGCCGCGGUAAUACGUAGGUGGCGAGCGUUAUCCGGAAUGGUUGGGCGUAAAGGGUGCGUAGGCGGCCUGCUAAGUCUGGAGUGAAAGGUACCGGCGCAACCGGUACAGGGCCUGGGAACUGGGGGGAGAGGGAGGAGGAGAGGGCGGGGGAACUCCAUGUGUAGCGGGAAAAUG